rnacentral:rRNA from 1 species
GACGUAGGGCGCGAGCGUUGUCCGGAUUUAUUGGGCGUAAAGAGCUCGUAGGCGGCUCAUCGCGUCAACCGUGAAAACCAGCAGCUCAACUGUUGGCUUGCGGUUGAUACGGGUGGGCUGGAGUUCGGUAGGGGAGACUGGAAUUCCUGGUGUAGCGGUGAAAUGCGCAGAUAUCAGGAGGAACACCGGUGGCGAAGGCGGUUCUCUGGGAAUGUUCUGACGCUGAGGAGCGAAAGUGUGGGGAGCGAACAGG